rnacentral:rRNA from 1 species
UACGUAGGGUCCGAGCGUUGUCCGGAAUUAUUGGGCGUAAAGAGCUCGUAGGCGGUCUGUCGCGUCGGAUGUGAAAACCCGGGGCUUAACCCCGGGCCUGCAUUCGAUACGGGCAGACUCGAGUGUGGUAGGGGAGACUGGAACUCCUGGUGUAGCGGUGAAAUGCGCAGAUAUCAGGAAGAACACCGGUGGCGAAGGCGGGUCUCUGGGCCACUACUGACGCUGAGACGCGAAAGCGUGGGGAGCAAACAGG